rnacentral:rRNA from 1 species
CAUGGAGGGUGAGAAUCCCGUUCAUGGUUAAUCUUAAGGAAGCUUUACGAUACGUUUUCCAAGAGUCGAGUUGUUUGGGAUUGCAGCUCAAAAUGGGAGGUAAAUUUCUCCUAAAGCUAAAUAUUGGCGAGAGACCGAUAGCGAACAAGUACCGUGAGGGAAAGAUGAAAAGAACUUUGAAAAGAGAGUUAAACAGUACGUGAAAUUGUUGAAAGGGAAACGAUUGAAGUCAGUCAUUCCAACGGGAAAUCAACCUUUUGAGCUCGGUCUCGUGGGUUUUGAAGAGUUUCAAAGCCUUCGGAUUCGCGGGAUUGGGAUCUCUUGGCGUACUUUUUCGUACGGUUAGUCAACAUCGGUUUUGAAUGUCAUAAAAUGACUGGAGGAAUGUAGCUUCGAUCUCGUAUUGAAGUGUUAUAGCCUUUGGUAGAUGUGAUGUUUGAGACCGAGGAUUGCAACGGAUACCCUUCAGGGCUAUUCGUCUGAUCUCUGAUACGUUGCCUUGAUGUUGAAAGCUUGCUUAUGAUGUUAGGGUAUUACGGUCAAAAGGUUAGAACGAAUUACAUUCGUUAAGGAUGUUGACGUAAUGG